rnacentral:other from 1 species
AUCAACCUGAGAUGCACGAUAACCCCUGUUGUUUUGAACCUACAUUUACUUUAAACGGGAUUCCUAUAUUGCCGGGUGGAUGUCAAGCCCUCAUUGCGCAGGGGAAGGCAGAAGCGCCGGUUGCGGUUACCCACCUAGCAUCAGCUAGGAGUCAGAAGACAGGGGGCGUCAUCUUGGGGAUAUA